rnacentral:rRNA from 1 species
UACGUAGGCAGCGAGCGUUGUUCGGAGUUACUGGGCGUAAAGGGUGUGUAGGCGGUUCUUUAAGUUUGGGGUGAAAUCUCCCGGCUCAACCGGGAGGGUGCGCCGAAUACUGAGGGACUAGAGUGCGGGAGAGGAAAGUGGAAUUCCUGGUGUAGCGGUGAAAUGCGUAGAUAUCAGGAGGAACACCGGUGGUGUAGACGGCUUUCUGGACCGUAACUGACGCUGAGGCACGAAAGCGUGGGUAGCAAACAGG